rnacentral:rRNA from 1 species
CCUACGGGAGGCAGCAGUAGGGAAUAUUGCUCAAUGGGGGAAACCCUGAAGCAGCAACGCCGCGUGGAGGAUGAAGGUUUUCGGAUUGUAAACUCCUUUUGUUAGAGAAGAUAAUGACGGUAUCUAACGAAUAAGCACCGGCUAACUCCGUGCCAGCAGCCGCGGUAAUACGGAGGGUGCAAGCGUUACCCGGAAUUACUGGGCGUAAAGAGCGCGUAGGCGGGAUAGCAAGUCAGAUGUGAAAUCCUAUGGCUUAACCAUAGAACUGCAAUUGAAACUGUUAUUCUAGAGUACGGGAGAGGUAGGUGGAAUUCGUGGUGUAGGGGUAAAAUCCGUAGAGAUCAAGAAGAAUUCUGAUUGCGAAGGCAGCCUGCUAAAACGUAACUGACACUGAUGCGCGAAAGCGUGGGGAGCAAACAGGAUUAGGUACCCGUGUAGUC